ACCUGCCCACUGAAAUUUUUAAAUGGCCGCAGUAAUUUGACUGUGCAAAGGUAGCAUAAUCAUUAGUUUUUUAAUUAAAAGCUUGUAUGAAUGGUUGGACGAGGUAAAAUCUGUCUUUAUUUAAAUAAUAUUAGAAUUUAAUUUUUAAGUUAAAAAGCUUAAAUUUAUAUAAAAGACGAGAAGACCCUAUAGAUCUUUAUAUUUUAAAAUAUAAUUUUAAUAAAGAAUAUUUAAUUUUUUAUAUUUUAUAUUAUUUUAUUGGGGUAAUAAAAAGAUUAAAUUAAUUCUUUUUGAUAUUUUACAUUGAUUAAUGAAUUUAUGAUCCAAUAUUUUUGAUUAUAAGAUUAAGUUACCUUAGGGAUAACAGCGUAAUUUUUUUUGAGAGUUCAUAUCGAUAAAAAAGUUUGCGACCUCGAUGUUGGAUUAAAAAUUGUUUUAGGCGCAGAAGUUUAAAAAUUUGGUCUGUUCGACCAUUAAAUUUUU
rnacentral:rRNA from 1 species